rnacentral:lncRNA from 1 species
CUCCACCCCUCCCGGUGUUCUCGUAGCCCCCAGCCUUGCCAGCGACUGGCGGAGGAUACCGACGGCUGGCCGCGCCUCCAUCUCUCCAGGGUGAGCCAUGUGACACGGGGCAGGCUCUCAGCGCGCGGUUCACCGGAAGGUCCCGGCACAGCCCGGGCAUGUCAGCGGAGGAUCGGCAGGCAGUGCAGAGACUUGUCAUCGGCAGCCCAGGCGGAGGUCCGCUCUAAGAGGCUUUGUUUCCCUGCUCGCCCAGUGGGCAUCCUGCCUCACCAAGCGCCUACCCGAGGCCGGGCCGCGGGAGGCGCGGGGCACAGAGGCAUGUACAGGGAGGAAAACAGGUAAUAGUGGAAAAGAUGCCAUGUCUGAAAAUUUCCAUGAAGCUCCUUGAGACCGUGGGGCACUGAGAGGGAGCUCCAUGAGACAAGCAUUUGAGCUCCUCUCCAAACAGAAAACAACCCAGAAGUCCUUCAAUGGGUGAAUGAUUAAACAAACUAUGGUAUAUCUGUACCAUGGAAUACUACUCGACAAUAAAAGAGAAUGAACUUCUGAUACAUGAAACAACUUGGAUGAGUCUCCAGGGAAUUAUGUUUUGAGGAAACCAAGGCUCAGAGGUAAGUAACUGGCCUAAGGUACAUGGUGAGUAAACGACAAAGAUUUCUACCCAGCUCUGCCUCAAAAUUCUAGUUCUUAGCACUCUGCCCUACUGGCUCCAAUAAAGAAGACCAUGCGACGCAGAUGGCUUAGGGAACAGCCAGUGGAGGAGAUGAGCAAAACACAAAUAACCACUGUGCAGGCAUUCACCUUUGUUCUAAGGAGGCCAGCCUCUCAGCAGGGAAGACUAGUUCUUUAUCUUUUUAAUUUUAAUUUUAUUUUUAUUGAACCAAAACCAGAUGGCACAAAACUCGCAUUUGCAGCAUAGUGCCUGGAAGUCAGGCAAAUUCUUAUUCCCUAGGAUCUUACCCACAGGUGAAGACUACCUGGGAUGUCUUGUCUUUAAUUCAGUCCCUGGACACAUUCCCACCUGGCCUGAUCUCAUAUCCUUUAAAGUGCUGUGGAUGUGGAUAUGGCCUGGACUGCUCUUGCGGUUCUCACCAAAUUUGAUUUUCAUUAUGCUUAUUCUAUGCUUUUCUAACUCAAGACAUCGGUGUUAGAGUCCAAGAGAGCUAGGGUUGGAACUAAGUUCUGUCAUUUACUUGCUGUGUGACUUUGGGAAAUUUAGUUAAAUACUUAAAAUCUUGAUGUUCUCAUGUAAAAUGGGCAUAAUGGUAUUACCCACUUUCUUGGAUGUUGUAAGGAUUAAAUCUUGGACCGUUGUAAGUUUGAAAUCAAGUACUUAACACAGAACUGGUACAUAGUAAGCUCUCAACAACAGCUUUUUGUAAAUUUUAUUAAUGAUAAUAUAUGUUAAUAUUAGUGGUUUUAUUUCAUAGCCUGUUCUGUUCAAAGCCAG